GAUGAAGAACUUAGCGAAAUGCGAUAAGUAAUGUGAAUUGCAGAAUUCAGUGAAUCAUCGAAUCUUUGAACGCACCUUGCGCCCUUUGGCCAUUCCGAAGGGCAUGCCUGUUUGAGUAUCAUGAACACCUCAACUCUUCAUGGUUUUCCGUGAUGAGCUUGGACUUUGGGGGUCUUGCUGGCCUAUGGUCAGCUCCUCUAAAAUAAAUCAGCUUGCCAGUGUUUGGUGGGUAUCACAGGUGUGAUAACUAUCUACGCUUGUGGUUUUCCACCAGGUAACCUUCAGCAGUGGAGGUUCGCUGGAGCUCACAGAUGUGUCUCUCCUCAGUGAGGACAGCUCUUUGAAUGUUUGAUCUCAAAUCAGGUAGGACUACCCGCUGAACUUAAGCAUAUCAAUAAGCGGAGGA
rnacentral:misc_RNA from 1 species